UACGUAGGGUGCGAGCGUUAAUCGGAAUUACUGGGCGUAAAGCGUGCGCAGGCGGUUCGUUGUGUCGGUGGUGAAAUCCCCGGGCUUAACCUGGGAAUGGCCAUGGAAACUGGCGAACUGGAGUGCGGCAGAGGGGGGUGGAAUUCCGCGUGUAGCAGUGAAAUGCGUAGAGAUGCGGAGGAACACCGAUGGCGAAGGCAGCCCCGUGGGCUAGCACUGACGCUCAGGCACGAAAGCGUGGGGAGCAAACAGG
rnacentral:rRNA from 1 species